CGCCAUGGGCGAAAGCCUAAAGGAACAACGCCGCCUGAGGGAGGGAGGUCUUUUGGAUUGUAAACCUCUUUUCUCAAGGAAGAAGUUUUGACGGUACCUGAGGGAUCAGCCUCGGCUAAAUCCGUGCCAGCAGCCGCGGUAAUACGGGGGAGGCAAGCGUUAUCCGGAAUUAUUGGGCGUAAAGCGUCCGCAGGUGGUCAGCCAAGUCCGCCGUCAAAUCAGGUUGCUUAACGACCUAAAGGCGGUGGAAACUGCCAGACUAGAGAGCGGUAGGGGUAGCAGGAAUUCCCAGUGUAGCGGUGAAAUGCGUAGGGAUUGGGAUUUACGGGGGUGGCGAAAGCGUCUACUGGGCCGGGUGUGCCCUUCUUCACGAAAGCCA
rnacentral:rRNA from 1 species